rnacentral:misc_RNA from 1 species
GGCAGAUUAGAGCGUGCUCCGCCGAAGUGGACACCGGUUCGGCGAAAGAGAGCGCGUCGAAACAAGGACUUAGAGCCGAUCUCGAUUGCAACGCGAUCGAGAUCGGCUCUAAGUCGUGACACUCACUCCUCAGUGAAACGCCUUGAACGCGAUGAUCGUUUCGGAGU